CGUCCCAUAGUUUAUUUGGAUAAAACAUAUCUUUCCUAAAGAUACGAGCCAGGUUCGAAUCCUGGUGGGACGGCCA
rnacentral:tRNA from 1 species